rnacentral:rRNA from 1 species
CUACGGGGUGCACCAGUGGGGAAUAUUGCACAAUGGGCGCAAGCCUGAUGCAGCCAUGCCGCGUGUAUGAAGAAGGCCUUCGGGUUGUAAAGUACUUUCAGCGGGGAGGAAGGGAGUAAAGUUAAUACCUUUGCUCAUUGACGUUACCCGCAGAAGAAGCACCGGCUAACUCCGUGCCAGCAGCCGCGGUAAUACGGAGGGUGCAAGCGUAAAUCGGAAUUACUGGGCGUAAAGCGCACGCAGGCGGUUUGUUAAGUCAGAUGUGAAAUCCCCGGGCUCAACCCGGGAACUGCAUCUGAUACUGGCAAGCUUGAGUCUCGUAGAGGGGGGUAGGAUUCCAGGUGUAGCGGUGAAAUGCGUAGAGAUCUGGAGGAAUACCGGUGGCGAAGGCGGCCCCCUGGACGAAGACUGACGCUCAGGUGCGAAAGCGUGGGGAGCAAACAGGAUUAGAUACCCCCGUAGUC